AUGAGUUCAUGAAGAUGAAGCCCCCAUGCUGGGAUUAGUACUUAUAAAAACAGAAGAGACACCAGAGUUUCCUUUCUCUGCCAUGUGAGGAUACAGUGACAAGGAGGUCUUCUGCAAGCUGGGGAGGAGACCCUCAACAAGAACUGAAUCUUUCAGCACCUUGAUCUUGGACUUUACAGCCUCCAGAACUGUGAGAGGUGGCGAACAGAUAACCUAAAGUUGCAAGUAGCUAGCAAGGACUUCGAUGAAGCAAAAGUUGACGUCCCUGGGUGGGCUUGAACCACCAACCUUUCGGUUAACAGCCGAACGCGCUAACCGAUUGCGCCACAGAGACGUGAAAGCGCGUUCCUCAUAACUCGUUUCCUGAUUCAAGAAAUUGCUUUUCAACCUCUGGCUGGGGACAUCCUUAGAUUCUCAUAUUCCGGAAGCCGAAGGUGCGCGCGGGAGACACUGAAGCCAAGAGUUGGUGUCAUCGGGCACGUUUGGACAUCGAUAGAACGUUUGGGACUCAGCUAGGGGACUCUGACUGCCGAACGCCAGAUCUGUGGCCUUCCCACCUGCUCCCCGCCUCAACAGCCGCCCGGCUCCAGGUGACGACCGCAGCCUCUCGGGCUGAAGUCCACGUUACUAUUCUUAGCUUCGCUCGCCGUGAGUCCCCACUUGACCCUGUGGGCGCGCAUGCGAAGGACACGAACCAGCUGUGCCCCCACUGCGCUGCCCACGUUCUGCGCCUCUCUCUAGAUGUGGACUCCGACCGGCAAGACCUCAGAACUGCUCGCGAUGCAGCCCGCCCUCCAGGGCAGGGCAUCGCACCUAGUAGGCACUCAAUAAAUGCCCGGUGAAGGAUGCAUUCUGCCGCAGGGUCCUAGGCAACCAAGAAUUCCAGUGUGUGCUUUAAGCUUUUAGGCCUACGAGUAACUCCGGAAACGGAAGGCUGGAAAGGUUUCUCAAAGCCGGAGGCGCUUUUAUUCCCGGAGCUGACUGAGAACAAAGCAGAAGUCUUGACUUUAGACACGUGCGCCCCGGGACCGAGCUGAGUUCCCCACCCUGAACUGCGACUCAGCCUCGGUCUGGGGUCGUCCGUCCUGAGGGGUUGAAUAGGGAAAACUGAAGAAGAGAAGAAGAAAGCGAGUGGGAAUGGAGGCAGCCCAGUGAGGGACGGGGACAGAGCGAGCUAGUGCUCUGGCCACUGAAGAAAAAGGCGAAAAGAAAACGGAAAAUGCCUAUUUUCGUUAAAUAACUUUGAUUACCCUCCCCCGCCUCCUCUUUGUCGGCCACCGCGCUGACCAUGAUUGUGUACUGUUGGAUGCUCUCGAAUCGGAAUGACUGAGGUUCCUCUUUGAAAUGCUUGGUUAAAGACUGCAACGUCGUGAGAUGUCACCGGAGUCCAGACCUCGGAGCAGGUGGCGAGGCGCCCCCGGCCCCGCGCGGUAGGGGGCGCACAAUCCCCUGCUCACCGCUGGAGGGUGAGACAGGACUCCGACUCCGCCCCAGCCCUCCGAGGCUGGGAGUCGGCUGCGCGCCUCCUCUCCCCCUUCCCCUGCGCCCUGUGCCUUGCGGAGGAAUGCUGAAGAAUGUUAUCCAACCACUUGUACUGUCAGGUAGAUGCACUGUCAGAAGCAACCGUAGAGAGAUACUGAUAAAAAUUCUGAAGAACAGAACGUCUGAGUAAGCUUAAUCUCAUUCCUGGAUCAGAUUGAGUAAUGCCGACUGUUUACUAAAGCCCCACAGAAGAGGUGGAGGAUGCGUGGGGCUGAAGCACCGAAAGUGCACUUGGCGCUGCCUGAAUUCUCCCUUGUGACUGAAGACCUUGGAGAAAAGCAUUCACGAUUGUCGUGGAAAGUUAGAAAAUUCCAGUAACAGGACUAAGGAGGUGGGUCCGGUAAGCCUCGGUGGGACCUCUUGGGAUGAAUUGGAAAAGACCCUUUUAUCCUGGACGUCCUUUCCAUUGAAGUCUGGGGUUCCAUCUGGGCGGUAAUGAGCACAGGGAGAGGCCGUUGUAAAAGCCCCAGAGGAGGGCGGAGUCGCUCCCUCAACCCGACCCCACCUCUGCGCAGCAGUUUCUACCCACUACCCCGCUUCCUCCUUGAAGUCGGAAGUAGGACGAUCGUAGGCCUGGUCCGUGACUUACUCCCGAUGAGCCCUGGGCCGGAGGAAAUCCAUUAAACUCUCUACAAACCUAUUUCCUCAUCAGCAACUCGCCGUGGUUGCCUUCAGUCUUGGCGCAGACAUUUUCCAUUUGGGCAACUGAUACCAAGCUGGUAGGGAGAAGAGAAGCUCACGGCUUUUCGUCUUCCUGCUAGCUCAGUUUGUAGCGUGCACGACUUCUAAUUUCAAAGUCUUGAGCACAGCCCAGCUUCCAGUGCGUUUUAUUUGGUUUUCUUUGGAUUAGUAUCCGCAGUUGCAGGGCUGUACUGCUCCCCGCAGUGGCCACGAGAGGGCGCGUGGUCCUUCUCCUUGGAACUCUGUCCCAGGAACCACUACUUUGUCUCAGUUUGGUUAGUAUAGAAUAAUGAUGUCCAGUAGUUUUAAUUCCUCUGAGACCGGUGGAACCCAAGAUCUCUUAUUUUUCACCACCUCAACUCUAGGGUCAUCUUGGGUCGAGGCAUGGGAGGUUGAUUGUGUAAGCUCAGCCUUCCUGCUCAUUCUAUCAGACUGGGGAAGCCUCACAAAGAAAAUUGUAUUUGAUUCAACGUAUUAAAAUUCAUUAUUCUCACCCCAGGGCCUAGAAUAGUGGAUAUAAAUAGGAGAUGUUCCAUAAAUAUAUAUACAUAUAUUUUAAAAUUCAUUUAUUUUAUUUAUUUAUUUUUGGCUGCGUUGGGUCUUUGUUGCUGCUGGCGGGCUUUCUCUAGUUGUGGUGAGCAGGGGCUACUCUUUGCAGUGCAUGGGCUUCUCAAUGUGGUGGCUUCUCUUGUUGUGGAGCACGGACUUCAGUAGUUGUGGCUCACGGGCUCUAGAGCGCAGGCUCAGUAGUUGUGGUGCACAGGCUUGGUUGCUCGGCGUCAUGUGGGAUCUUCCUGGACCAGGGCUUGAACCCGUGUCCUCUGCAUUGGCAGGCGGAUUCUUAACCACUGCGCCACCAGGGAAGCCCCCCAUAAAUAUAUUUUUUUAAUAAAAAAAUUCAUUAUUCUGAGAAGGGUGCGCAGGUUUCAGCAGAUCACCAAAGGAGUUCUUGGUAGAAGAAAGAUUAAAAACCCAAACACAUGGAGAGAGACAUUGGUGGGACGAAGACCCAGGCCCCGGGUGUAGCCUAAACACAGGCAGGGUAGAAAUGGGAAGGAAGACUCAAAGGGAAGAACGGCAGAACUGGGAGGAGGAAGAAGAAAGGGGAGGAAAGAGAUGGAUUCAAAGGAGAAAUUUAUUCACUGGUCCCCAGUUAUAUGACAGCUGGUCUCUCUGGGCUUCCCCAGGCAGCCAUUGUCCUUUAAGGUAGCCUCUCACCCUUCCACCCAUCUGAUUCUGGGAAUUCUAGCAUUUCCUAUUACGUCUACCAAGCCUACACCAAGUCCCCUCUACCAGGACCAGUUCUGGCCCCUUACAGAUAGUCUUUUACUAAUCCUUUCUUUUGUGGUCCUAGGAGAGUCUGUAGGGGAGGCAAACUUCACCUCAACCCUCUUAGGGUCUCCAGCUGGGCCUGAGAAUUAGAUUGGCAUAAGACAGAUUAAGAGGAGGAAAACAUCCAGAUUUUCACAUGUGCAUGGGAGCUCCAAUAGGAAAAUGAAAACCCAAAGAAGUGGCUAGGCCUAAGUAUUUAUAUACUAGGUUGAACAAAGAGAGGUGAUUAUGGAAAAGUAAAACACAUAGGAAGACUAAAGGAAGAUACGAGUUAUUUUAACAAAGUCUGUUUGUGUGGAUUUCUCUCGGCCUUGACUUUCUGUCUCUGGUGACCAGAAUGAUUGUACUUGCUGUUUUCUAAAUGCCUUUAGCUCAAAAUACUUCUUAUGCCAAAUUGGCAUACUUUGGAGUGGCAUAUAGUCAAAGCAUUGGAAUAUAGCCAAAGAACAGGAUCCUCAGCCCAGAUGUCCUUGUGGUGCUGUGGGGUCACCAUGCUGAAAGUGAAUCCAGCAAGCCUAGAUUGGUUUAGUUGUACUUGUUAAUAAAGUAAAAACAAAAUCCUUGGACCAGGUCAUUUUUAAAUGUGGAAAACAGUGUUCAAAUUAUUUAGACAUCAGCAAUGAGUGUGAUUAAACCUUAAUUUUAAAGGCACUGAAAAGAAUCCAGGACUUCCACGUACAGCUAUAGUAUAGUAAUGCCACCAGUUUAGUCUUCUUGCUGUAAACAACCAUGAAAAUAGACAAAAUAUGUGAAGCACCUGUUAUAGACACUGGACAGAGGCAGUGCAAGACUGUGAUUGCCUAAGAGAGGGCUGCGGAAAUGACCUGAUGGUGGUAUAGCAAGCUGGAAUCGCAGCAGAGCAUGGUGUUCACACGGAGCUAAGGUAGAUAUCAGAGGACAGCUGAAGCAACUGGAAUCUGCAGAGAACCAGAAAGGAGAAGACAGUUUACAGGCUAGUUUUCAGAAAUCCAUACUGGGUCUCCUGACAGUCAUUUGCUGAGUGCUGGGCUGCUCAUGUGUGGAGAGCUACUACCAAGGCUUACCGGACAACAGAUGCUACGGGAUGGAAAACAGAACAGAGAUCUUAGAAGUCUCUGCUGGCAACAUUGGAAUUCAGGCUUUGUUAACGACUCUUUACCACCCUGAGCAUCCAGUUGAUACCCCAGAAAGGCUGCUUAAGGAGUAAAGACCACAACCUAGUGUGAGGCCUACUCUGGAUCCUCCCUAAAAAAGGAUAAAACAAAGAUCUGACAAGAUUAGCAGGGUUUGGACGUUGAGUCACACCAAAGAGGGCUUUGGGAAACACCUUGGACUUUCCUCAGAUCUACUGAGAAACAAACCAUUAAUCCAGUCCUACACAAGUUCAAGGUCACUGGCCAGUAAUCAAAGUGCUUAAGUAGAACAAAAGUUGAUACUCUUUGGAGAAAGAUAUCAGAAUCCAGAGUCUCUACAUUGCAUCAUUCAAAGUGUCCAGUAAACAAUAAAAAAUACUAAACAUGCAAAGAAACAGAAAAAUGUGACCCAUUCAAUACCUAUUUUUAAAAAGGAAAACAAAGCAGUUAAAAGAAACCAACUCCAAGAAGAUGUCUCAGAUGUUGGAUUUAGCAUACUUUAAAGCAGGGUUGCAGAUUAUGUAUGGUUCAGCAACAUGGGUUCCACUCAUCAUGGCUAAUCUAGCUACAAUCACUAGUGGUGCCCAGUCAACAGCAGAGAACAACUCAGCCCCUGAUAUGACAGCAGUCCCUAAAUCGUUGAAUAAAGCCAAUUAGAUCUUCAAA